AGGGCUCUCAUUUCCCUAAGAUGAACCUUGAGUCAGAAAAUCCGUUAUGACUCGGACGUGCCUGGGCCCCUAAGCUACUGGCGCUUCAAAAGGUGAAACUCUCGUCGUAGUUUGGGGACCUAAGAACAAAGAAGUCAGCUGUUCAGGCAAUGGCAAGGCAAGCAAUGGGGAAAGCCAGUGGUAGCAAUGUCAAAACACUCGUUGUUGAGGGUGGGUUUUCUUUUACAAAAAAGCGAUUGUUGAAGAAACGAAGAAAACUACACCAAGCAACUGGAGAGCACGCUAGCGCGAAAGCCGUUGCGCGGUAGCGCAUCCAUUUUCUUGCUGUGCGCUAGUGAGAAAGCAGUUGUGCAGUAGCGCAUACGUUUUCUUGUUAGGAAAAAAACAAACCAACAAAUGUAAGCAAGAAAACGGAUUCGCAGCGCGUUAGCGCCCUUGCUUCUUGCUUUCGAGCCUACGCUUGCUGGCUUUUAUCUCUUGCAAAGCACUCACUCAUUAGAGAGAGUGCUUUGAUGUAGCUUCGCACUCGGUCCUAGCUUUUGGGCAAAAGCAAAAAGGGCUCUUGACUACUUGGCCUUUGACAAGACUUAGCUAACCUAACGACUGAACCACGCAGCAAAAAGGGCUCUUUACUUUGUACUUGGUUUGGUUUUGCUUUGGCAUUGCCCUAACGACUGACUUGCUGAGGCUUUGCUCCUUGCAUCAAAGCAGCACUCUAUUGGGCAGUAGCAAAAAGCCCUCAAGAGGGCUUUGACAAGACUUAGCUAACGAUUGAACUCGCUUGGGCUCAUUAGCUACAAAGAAAAUCACUUAUGAGGGCUUUGCAAAAAGCAAAGCUCUUGUUUGAGAGUGCCCAAUAAAGCACUCGUAAGCGAUUUGCUUUUUGACAACAAAAAGCCUUGCCAAUAGUUUGACCUUGCUACGUGGUGUAGACUGAACGAGCUAAGCAGACACUUUGAGUUAUUUAAAGGCGAAGAUGGGUGAAGACUCGGCCCAGAGAGCACUCUUUCUCAUAGGUGAGCUCCGGCUUUGCACAUCUGCUGACACCUUUAAUAGCACUUUCUAGUGUGAACCCUUCAGUUGCCUUUCUCAUUUAAGUGCUCUCCUUUUGAAUCUUCAGUAGGGGCCUUUAGUCAUAGAAUAGGGGUCACGAGAGAGCAGAGUGUACAGCCCUGCCAUAGUCGCCAGUCUGUUUAUAGUCACGACUGUUAUCAUAUUCAUAAAGGCUUUCAACUUCCAGGAAAAAACAUUGAAUUGGGAGGGUGAUCCUCCCGGUGAACUGACCGUACCCCAAACCGACACAGGUGAACAAGUUGAGUAUACUAGGGCGCUUGAGAGAACCAUGUCGAAGGAACUCGACAAAAUGAUCCCGUAACUUAGAGAUAAGGAGUGCUCUCUUAUCUUUUGAUUAGGAAAGCGACACAUACCAGGGGGUAGUGACUGUUUAUUAAAAACACAAGACUCUGCUAAGUGGUAACUCGAUGUAUAGAGUCUGACACCUGACAGGUGCUGGAAGGUCGGAAGGAGAAGUCUGAUAAGCUUUGAAUGGAAUCCUCGGUAAACGUAAGUAGUAACUCUAACUGUCCUAAGGUAGCGAAAAUCAUAAGUAGCGACCUGCACGCAUGGUGUAAUGACUGCCCCGCUGUCUCCGACAUGGACCCGGUGAAAUUGAGUUCUCCGUGAAGAUACUAAAUACCAACUGCUAGACAGUAAGACCCCGUGCACCUUGACUAUAGCUUCACAGUGACAACCUUGAUCGAAUGUGUAGGAUAGGUGGGAGGUGGUGACACAGAUCUCCCAAUCCUGAAAGACCACUCUUUCAUCUAAGGAUGCCUAACUGUCGCAUCGAUCAUUCAUGGGGGGGGGGGGGCAGGACACUGUGAGGUGGGUAGUUUAUCUAGGGUGGAUGCCUCCUAAAGAGUAACGGUGGUGUACGAAGUUAGGCUCAAGCUAAGAUUAUGCUCGUGAGCGUAAUGGUAUAAGCCUACCUGACUAUGAGACUGACUGGUUGAACAAAGACGAAUGUCAGUCAUAGUGAUCUAAGAGUCCCGUGUGGAAGGGCUCUCGCUCAACAGAUCAAAGGUACGUCGCGGAUAACAGGCUUAUGACUCCCAAGAGCUCUUAUCGACGGAGUCGUUUGGCACCUUGAUGUUGACUCAUCACAUCAUGGGGUUGAAGAAGGUCCCAAGAGUUCGGUUCCUAUCUACUUUUGGUGUUAAAGGGUGAACUACGAGGAGCCAACCCUAGUACGAGAAGACUGGGUUGGGCCAACCUAUGGUGAACCGGUUGUUAUGCCAAUAGCAGCUUCAGGCAACUAAGUUGGAAUGGAAGAACUGUUGUGCCGCAUCUGAGCUGAGCUAUAGACUCACUCUCAAAGCAACGAGAGGAGUUUACGUCAGUUUAAUCACUCGUUGUUUUAAACGUUGGAAGUCCUUCUCUAAUCAAGUCCUUGUACAAGGUUUUUUAACAGAACUUCGAUAAGCGAAAGGUGUAAGCACCACGAGGUGUGAAGCGAUCUCGUACUAAACGAUACUACUUUCUCUU
rfam:Amborella trichopoda AMTR_V1.0_contig_34660, whole genome shotgun sequence.